rnacentral:sRNA from 1 species
GAGGUGAGACUUCCGCGGUCGCGGCCCA